rnacentral:rRNA from 1 species
CACGUAGGGCGCAAGCGUUGUCCGGAAUUACUGGGCGUAAAGCGUGCGCAGGCGGUUGUGUAAGACAGAUGUGAAAUCCCCGGGCUCAACCUGGGAACUGCAUUUGUGACUGCACGGCUCGAGUGCGGCAGAGGGGGAUGGAAUUCCGCGUGUAGCAGUGAAAUGCGUAGAUAUGCGGAGGAACACCGAUGGCGAAGGCAAUCCCCUGGGCCUGCACUGACGCUCAUGCACGAAAGCGUGGGGAGCAAACAGG